UUUCAUCAUAGCCUAAAGUUAGAGAAGAGAAAGGAGAGAAGAAAGCUCUUGAAUGUUCGGUCACUUGGGGAAGAAAAUUGAAGGAAAUCCCCAACCAUAGUGGGCUUGGAGCUGUGAGGGAAUUCGGAGUGGCCACCCGUUCUGAAAGUUUGGUUUUCUUCUGGUGAACUGGACAUCCUAUUAUUUACGUUGAGGUUUGGGUUUUUAAAUGUAAUAAGGCCGCUUAAUUA